rnacentral:lncRNA from 1 species
UGAGAUAUGUAGAUUUGAUAGAUUAGGGAGGUGAUAUUUGUACACCCACAAAAAAUUGAUAAGAAGAUCUUUAAGAUUGCAUGAAUAAUUGAAAAGGAGAAAGGGUUUUCCAUGGGGGAGAGAGGGUUUUUGGAGCCCUAUAUACUAUGCACCCAUCCAAUAGGAUCAUACAAUUUUGUGCGUAUAGAAGUAUGAGCCUAAUCUUUUGUGUCUAGGACUGGCGAGGGUGCCUCACUUUUAUUUAGAGCCUUCUUUAAUAGUAUUCUCAAACUUUAUCUAGGCUAGAGUUCAAUAGAUUCGCCUUAUCCACUCCUUUUUUAGAUUUUAUAGUUCUCAA